rnacentral:misc_RNA from 1 species
GAUGAAGAACGUAGCGAAAUGCGAUACGGAAUGUGAAUUGCAGAAUUCAGUGAAUCAUCGAAUCUUUGAACGCAUAUUGCGCUCUUUGGUAUUCCGAAGAGCAUGCUUGUUUGAGUAUCAGUAAACACCUCAAAGUCUUUUUUUCUUGAAGAAAAAGACCUUGGACUUGAGCAAUCCCAACUCUUCUUUCAGAAGAGGCGGGUUGCUUGAAAUGCAGGUGCAGCUGGACAUUCUCCUGAGCUAAAAGCAUAUUCAUUUAGUCCCGUCAAACGGAUUAUUACUUUUGCUGCAGCUAACAUAAAGGGAGUUUGACCAUUUUGGCUGACUGAUGCAGGAAUUUCACAAGAGUCUUCAAAACGCUCUUGUUAAACUCGAUCUCAAAUCAAGUAAGACUACCCGCUGAACUUAAGCAUAUCAAUAAGCGGAGGA